GUUGUGUGCCAACACUGGAGAGCGUGACAGCGCGGACCACUGGGGUUCAUGAUGGACGUCCCUCCCACGAAGGCAGCGACCGACGCCGCCUCCUGCUCGUGCCGCCUCGUCGCUGAUGCCGCCUCGGAGACCCGCCUCAUAUUCAGCGAACGCUUUCAUCCUCGGUAACAGAUAACGGAACCCGGUGCCUUCUGCACUGCGAGUCCGCCCGCGUCAUCGCUGCCCUCCGUUGUUUAGUCCCGCUGCGCGUCCACACACACACACACACACACAUACAGAGGACGCGCACAUUAGGAUCCAGACAACGUGCCAUGACCGAGAGAAGAAGAAGCUGCAGCCAGCCACGCAGAAACGGCCCGACGAGGUUUACCACGGAACAAAGAGCCAGACUUCGGGUUACGAAUCCCUUAAUAGCACACAAACAAACAGUUAUUUGAUCAUUCAUUUGUGCCUUAGGUUCCACACACACAUACUCCCAUCAUAAGUAGGUGUUAUUUAAGCAGAAAGGCAACAGUAUGUGUGUGUGUGUGUGUGUGUGUGUGUGUGUGUGUGUGUGUGUGUGUGUGCAGGUGACUUAAGGAGAUGAUUGUUUGGCAUCAGAGAAAGAUGGUUGGACAGUGUUUCACGCUCGGGUUAUAGUUCAGCAGAUUAGAGCUAAGCAGCACUCACCUCAAAGGUAAACUGCCAUUCAAUGUAACGCUUGCAUACAAACACACAUACACAGAGACGCACACACACACACACACGCAAACACCCGGGAAUGCAGGACAGAUGCUGCCCCUACCCUUCCUGCCGCCGUCCCGGCAAAGCCGGCUGGAGAGAGGAUGAGAUUUGGGGCUGAUUGGUUUUGUCUUGUUUUUUUUCUUCUUUUUUCAUCGCAGCCUUUGCACGUCACCGCGUCCACCACUUCCCCCUUUCCUUGGCACGACUUUGUCCCCGGCAUGAAAAUCUUUCUACUGGAAGAACGUCAGACAAUCUGCUUGGGUUGCUGAUUGAAGUUUUUUUUUUAUUGCCUUUUAUCUCUCUGGGUACAAAGUGGAACACUAAAAGGACUUCUUGAAUUCUCACAAUGUCAGCGAGGCUUAGCGCAAGCCCUCGACUACAGAACUGACAUCCAGAAGGAUAUUGUUCCAAGGAACGACACCAGACAGCGGACACGGGGAGGCAGAGGGGCGGGAGGAGAGCCGUCUGGGCCGGGACAACGAGAGACAUGACGGAGCAGCCUUCGGGCUAGACCACCUCCACUUCUACCGCUGCUCCUCCCUCUCUUACCCCCUACUCCCAGCUUCCCUCCCUCCCUCUCGCCGCUGCUCUCACCUGGUCCGCCUGCCUCGAGUGUCGCGAAAUGAGAUAGAGAGACGGAGAACGGGAGAAGGCAGAGCGCUGGAGUCCCAGCUCAGCGUUUCCACGGACGGCAGAGACAGCGAGACAUCCGUCCACGGCUUCACUGAAGAAGGACACCGCAGCUAAUCCUGAGAGGAAGGAAGAAAAAAAAGAGAAAGCAACCGGGAGAAGAUAGGGGUGCACAUCAAGGCGGUGGAAGCCCCAGAGAAGGAACCUAGGAGGUAAGGAGGGACGGAGUGGGGGAGCGCGUGGGGACCAGCUCAAAGCUGUGAAGCGAGAGAGGAUCCAGCGGGAGACGGAGAGCGCCGAAGCGCCGCUGAGCGCGCGGCUCGACCGUGAGACUAAUUGACUCUGACUCAUUAUCCUCCGCCCGAGUGCACGAGCGGGAUUCUACCGCUCCGAUAAAACCAGGGAGUGUUCGUCCCAAACACGCUCAGCGGGCCUUGGGGGG